GGCCUGGUUGGAUGGUCUGCUCUCGGGUUUGUACUGUCCUGACUGGGUCUUACCUUCUGGUGAGCUGUCGUGUUGUUUACUCAGUGCGGCAGGGAACCAGGACUUUUACUUUGAAAAAAUUAGAGUGUUUAAAGCAGGCAUUCGCUUGAAUACAUUAGCAUGGAAUAAUAAAAUAGGACGUGUGGUUCUAUUUUGUUGGUUUCUAGAAUCGCCGUA
rnacentral:rRNA from 1 species